CCUACGGGGGGCAGCAGUGAGGAAUAUUGGUCAAUGGACGAGAGUCUGAACCAGCCAAGUAGCGUGAAGGAUGACUGCCCUAUGGGUUGUAAACUUCUUUUAUAUGGGAAUAAAAUGUUCCACGUGUGGGAUUUUGUAUGUACCAUAUGAAUAAGGAUCGGCUAACUCCGUGCCAGCAGCCGCGGUAAUACGGAGGAUCCGAGCGUUAUCCGGAUUUAUUGGGUUUAAAGGGAGCGUAGGUGGAUUGUUAAGUCAGUUGUGAAAGUUUGCGGCUCAACCGUAAAAUUGCAGUUGUAACUGGCAGUCUUGAGUACAGUAGAGGUGGGCGGAAUUCGUGGUGUAGCGGUGAAAUGCUUAGAUAUCACGAAGAACUCCGAUUGCGAAGGCAGUUCACUGGACUGCAACUGACACUGAGGCUCGAAAGUGUGGGUAUCAAACAGGAUUAGAUACCCCUGUAGUC
rnacentral:rRNA from 1 species